rnacentral:rRNA from 1 species
AGCGAACGCUGGCGGCAGGCCUAACACAUGCAAGUCGAACGGAUCCUUCGGGAUUAGUGGCGGACGGGUGAGUAACACGUGGGAACGUGCCCUUUGGUUCGGAACAACUCAGGGAAACUUGAGCUAAUACCGGAUGUGCCCUUCGGGGGAAAGAUUUAUCGCCAUUGGAGCGGCCCGCGUCCGAUUAGCUAGUUGGUGAGGUAAAGGCUCACCAAGGCGACGAUCAGUAGCUGGUCUGAGAGGAUGAUUAGCCACAUUGGGACUGAGACACGGCCCAAACUCCUACGGGAGGCAGCAGUGGGGAAUCUUGCGCAAUGGGCGAAAGCCUGACGCAGCCAUGCCGCGUGAAUGAUGAAGGUCUUAAGAUUGUAAAAUUCUUUCACCGGGGACGAUAAUGACGGUACCCGGAGAAGAAGCCCCGGCUAACUUCGUGCCAGCCGCCGCCGUAA